rnacentral:rRNA from 1 species
AGCUCCAAUAGCGUAUAUUAAAGUUGUUGCGGUAAAAAAGCUCGUAGUUGGAUUUCUGUUGAGGGCGACCGGUCCAUACCACGUAUGCGCAUCUGGCUCGGCCUCGGCAUCCUCUCGCAAGACGCUUCUGCGCUUCAUUGCGUGGAGCGGAUUACGGGACUUUUACUUUGAGGAAAUUAGAGUGUUCACGGCAGGCUAUCGCCCGAAUAUAUUAGCAUGGAAUAAUACUAUAGGAUCUUGGUUCUAUUUUGUUGGUUUCUAGAAUUGAGAUAAUGAUUAAUAGGGACAAUUGGGGGCAUUCGUAUCAACGCGUCAGAGGUGGAAUUCUUGGAUUGCGUUGCGACGAACUACUGCGAAAGCAUUUGCCAAGGAUGUUUUCA